rnacentral:lncRNA from 1 species
AUGUAAUUACAAGUGUGCUCCUGGUGGUCUUUAACUGAAGGGCACUGACUGGGUACUGGUGAAGUUCCCCGCAGGAACUGAGUCAGACCCCAUCUCAGGGCCCUGCAGAAGAUAGGUGCCUGCUCUAAGGCGUGGACCCUCGCGACAGCCCUGGCCCGUCUUGACGGGCGAGGGUUACUGUACUUGUCCCAACCGUACAGAUGAGAAAGCUCAGACUCAGGGCCAGCAACCCCGGUCCCAGCGGAGCGCCCGGCACGCGCCGACACUUCAGCACCAGUCGCGGUGGCCACCACUGUGCGCGGAGAUGGCUGCGACGCGUGCGCAGAUCUCGAUCCCAAACUCCCUCCUGCCAGAAUCUGGACCCGAAUCCACCCAUUGCCCAUUUUCCGCUGCCGCUGGAGAGAAUCUCUGAGGUCCCCAGGACAGCCUGCCUGCACGGAAGAGAUGCCUCCUCAGUAUGGCCGCCCCCGGAGAGGAGCGAUUAAGUGCAGACCUCCAUGUUGCUCUUGAGCCUGAGUGGCUUCAGGGAGCCAUGUUUGUUACUGGCGGGCGCCGGCCUCACUGAGCAUGUGCAGCCCUGGCCGGGCGGCCUCAAAGUUCUGACAUCACAGGGCGGUUCCUGAAGUGGACGUAGUUGUAAGAGCUAGUUAUUUUAGACAAUGCCUCUGGGAUCAGGGACUCUAAUCUGGAAAUAGGUAGUGGGAGAGGUCGGUGAUGCUGUCUCGGGGUCAGAGACCUGAGCUAUAUGGGGUUAGAGAGGGGCCCUGGGCAGGCGAGUCUCUGGGGAGUGUGGUGAGAAUCCUUGUGUAAGAUGCUGGGAGGAGGUGGGGUCAGGGCUGGGGUCCGUGGGCCGAUGGGUUGGGGGAUGGCCAGCGUCAGGGAUCAGUAGUAGAGAUUCUAUGUGCCCUGAUCGCCAGUAGAGGUUUUAAAUACAGAGUAUUCAUGAGUUUAGCAAUGUUAUUCGCCUCUCAUAAUUUAAAUAAUUUGAAGUUUUCCCCCAGUAACUAGUGUCUUAGAAGUCAUGAAAAUUUCAGAAAAUGACAGGUCUUCUGAGUUCGUGAUGGGAGUUGGGCAGCAGUCGCAUACGAGCACCUGGAGAGUCCUUGCCAGUUCUUUGGGGAUGGGGAGCUCUUAAGACUGCCCUGAGACCGCCCUUUGACCUCAUUGUGGUCCUUUCUAGAUUAAAUGCUGUUUUCCAUGACCGUCUCUGUUCUUCCCAUACGCGAAUGGCAGGCAUCCAGAUCUCCAAGAAUAGAGGAUUAGGAGAGACUCCACCACCUAUGUCCUCACAGUUAAUUAUCGAUUUGUGUCACUUGCCCAUUUUCUCACUUCCUGUUUGUGUGUCAAGGAGUAUUAAUAAAUCUUUGCCUAUUUAAAGAUACUAGCCUUGGAUUUUCAAAUAUUGCAUAUUUUGACAUGUAAAAAUGUGUUAGUUUUAUUUUUUCAACCGAUCUGACCUGUAUAGUUGGGCUUGAGGAAGCUUCCUCAUUGUACAUGUUACUAUGGAUUUUUUAAUAUUAACACAGAGUUGUAUUUUUUCCAUAUAAAUUUCUAUUGAAUUUCUUUUUCCAUAUGAUAGGUGGUGAAGGUUUAGCCCAGUAAAGCAGAGAGGUUAAGAGGUUAGACUGGGGGCUCUGGAGCCAGACCUAUGUAGAUCUGAGUCCUGGCUCUGGCACUUGAAAGCCGUGUGACCUUGGUUAAGAUACUUAGCCCCUCUCUGCCAAAUGGAGAAAUAAGGGCACCUACCCCGUAGGGUAGUUGUGUGAGUACACAAGUUAAUACACUUCAAUCACUAGCAAGAAAGUGAAUGUCAAGCUGUAUUUGUUCAGGCAGCCAUAUGGUAGCCCCACCUCAUUAGUAAACUGAGGUAUUGAAGUAUCUUCUUUUUCUUUCAGAAAAUAUUUGUCAAGCACCUUCUGUGUUCUAAGAACUGUUCUAGAGCUUUGCAUGCUAUGGAGGUCUAGAAAUUCACAUUAUGGUGGCAGGUGACAGACAAUACAAAGAGAUAAAGCAAUUUCAUAUAGUGAUAACCUAGGGAGGCGUGCUAAAAGGAGCCAAGGUGUAGUGGUGACUGGAAGGUGACCAGGGAAACCACUGUAGGGUUUCUAACUGAUGAGAUCUGUGACAAAUCCCUGUGGUCAGCAGC